rnacentral:rRNA from 1 species
GACGAACCUGACGAACGUUAUUCGGAAUUACUGGGCUUAAAGGGUGCGUAGGCGGUGCGGUCAGUCGGGUGUGAAAUCCCUCGGCUCAACCGAGGAACUGCGCCCGAUACUGCCGUGCUUGAGGGAGACAGAGGUAAGCGGAACUGAUGGUGGAGCGGUGAAAUGCGUUGAUAUCAUCAGGAACACCGGUGGCGAAAGCGGCUUACUGGGUCUCUUCUGACGCUGAGGCACGAAAGCUAGGGUAGCGAACGGG